AUUGAACGCUGGCGGCAGGCUUAACACAUGCAAGUCGAGCGGGGUGAUGGUGCUUGCACUAUCACUUAGCGGCGGACGGGUGAGUAAUGCUUAGGAAUCUGCCUAUUAGUGGGGGACAACACCUCGAAAGGGAUGCUAAUCCCGCAUACGUCCUACGGGAGAAAGCAGGGGAUCACUUGUAACUCAGCGCUAAUAAAUGAGCCUAAGUCGGGUUAGCUAGUUGGUGGGGUAAAGGCCUACCAAGGCGACGAUCUGUAGCGGGUCUGAGAGGAUGAUCCGCCACACUGGGACUGAGACACGGCCCAGACUCCUACGAGAGGCAGCAGUGGGGAAUAUUGGACAAUGGGGGGAACCCUGAUCCAGCCAUGCCGCGUGUGUGAAGAAGGCCUUAUGGUUGUAAAGCACUUUAAGCGAGGAGGAGGCUCUUUUGGUUAAUACCCAAGAUGAGUGGACGUUACUCGCAGAAUAAGCACCGGCUAACUCUGUGCCAGCCGCCGCGGUAA
rnacentral:rRNA from 1 species